GUUCACAGGAGUAGGAAUGCACCCCUAAAUAGGGUGCAAACUUCAUGGGUGAUGGUGCUGAGAAUUUGAAAUGAACACAAAUUAAUUAUUGCAAUUAGAAAGUGAGAAAUAGCAGAAUUCAUUAAUUCUAGUGAAAUUCGGAAUGAGAUCACCUCUUUUAAUAUAAAAUUUAUCAGCAAAUUUUGCCUACAGUUACCGAGAAUUGAAAACCUUGAGAAAUUGGAAUUCUACAAAAUGUAAGUCAUUUUAAGUAAAAUCUUUGCCUCAUAUGGAGAACCCAAAGAACUCACUGUUACAGGAGAGAUGAGAGACAGAUGAUAACUUUAGAAUGUCCAUCUGGACCUCUGAAUGCCAUCCUCUGAGAAGAUGCCCAUGACAGCAAGCACACUGGAGCGCAACACCAUCCUGGGUGAAGAUUUGUUGCAAUUGAAUGUGGAUGUGCUGAUCUCUGUGCUCCUGGAUAUGGAGCUGUUAAUCUCUCCUCAAGAGCUGGAUGCAGGCCCAGGCUGCCAUGUAGCACUGAGUGAUGCCAUGCCAAUUCUAGACAAGGUCUUUAUUGCUGGAAAUGUUGCAUAAUGACAGUUUUAUUCAUGUGAAAACGCAGAAUACAUUUCAACUGUAUGAAAUUGUUUAUGUUCAUCAGAAAUGUUAUUUGUCUUCACAAAGUCUGGUUUCAAUGAACCAGCUAUGUAAUGGAUAUUAAAUAAACAUGGAAUUUUACAUGUUCAUAA
rnacentral:lncRNA from 1 species